rnacentral:rRNA from 1 species
ACUCCUACGGGAGGCAGCAGUGGGGAAUCUUCCACAAUGGGCGAAAGCCUAAUGGAGCGACGCCGCGUGAACGAUGAAGGUCUUCGGAUCGUAAAGUUCCGUCGCAGGGGAAGAUAAUGACGGUACCCUGUGAGGAAGCACCGGCUAACUACGUACCAGCAGCCGCGGUAAU